rnacentral:rRNA from 1 species
GACGAACGCUGGCGGCGUGCCUAAUACAUGCAAGUAGGACGCAGUUGCGAACGGGUGAGUAACGCGUAGGUAACUGCCUAUUAGAGGGGGAUAACUAUUGGAAACGAUAGCUAAUACCGCAUACUAGUAGAUGGACCUGCGUUGUAUUAGCUAGUAGGUCGGGUAAUGGCCUACCUAGGCGACGGUACAUAGCCGACUUGAGAGGGUGAUCGGCCACAAUGGGACUGAGUAAAGGCCCAGACUGCUACGGGAGGCAGCAGUAGGGGAUGUUCGGCAAUGGGGGGAACCCUGAACGAGCAACGCCGCGGGAGUGAAGAAGGUUUUGGGAUCGUAAAGCUCUGUUGUUAAGGAAGCGGUACUUAACCAGAAAGGGACGGCUAACUACGUGCCAGCAGCCGCGGUAAUUC